UGAAACUCUUUCUCGUGAAUGAGACUCUUCUGCUACCUUUAGACUACACUGAGGAGUAUGACAAGUUUUCAGCUUGAGAAGGGCUUGCAUUCUGUAGGAGAAAUGAACAAACAGCAUUAAUGUUGAUGAUGCAACAUGGAACAAGUGCUAUGACAGAGAUUAAAAAACAAGUGCUUGUUCAUUUACUGGAAAGACAGAAGACCGAUUCAGCCUGGAAAGAAAAAUCCCUGAGAAGAUGGCUUUCAGAUGGAAAGGACUUGCCUUGUCUUCAAUGAGACUUUGGACUGUGGACUUUUGAGUUAAUGCAAAAAUGAGUUAAGUCUUUGGGGGACUGUUGGAAAGGCAUGAUUGGUUUUGAAAUGUGAAGACAUGAAAUUUUGGAGGGGCCGGGGUAGAAUGAUAUGAUUUGGCUGUGUCCCCACCCAAAUCUCGUCUUGAAUUCCCACGUGUUGUGGGAAGGAUCCAGUGGAAGGUAAUUGAGUCAUGGGGGCAGGUUUUCCCCAUGCUGUUCUCAUUGAUAUUGAGUCUCAGUAGAUCCGAUGGUUUUAAAAAUGGGAGUUUCCCUGCCCAAGCCCUCUUCUCUUAUCUGCUUCCAUGUGAGACAUGCCUUUCACCUUCCCUCAUGAUUGUGAGGUCUUCCCACACACGUGGAACUGUAAGUCCAUUAAAUCUCUUUCUUUUGUAAAUUGCCCAGUCUCAGGUAUGUAUUUAUCAGCAGUGUGAAAACAACUAAUACACUACCUCAUAAGGUGGUGCAAUGAUAAAAUGAUAUAUGAAAACACUUUUAAUAGCAUUUGACACAUGGUAAGUGUUCUGUAAGGAUUAGCUACAAUUUUUACUGUUAAUAAUUAGUUUCUUCUCACUGGCUUCUACCUCCCUCAAUUGAUGAGUGCUUAGGAGAGAUGGCAUGACUAGAGCACAGGCCUAAUGGAGCAGACCACCCAAAGCUACCAUGCAUGCAAGGAAACUGAACUUAAUAGAGCUUUGACUUUAAUCUGAGAAUGCUCAGUGUAGUGCUCUGUUUGGUCCUUCCAGAACACUGAAUGCACCUUGAGGAUGGUAUUUGGUUUUCAUAAUCUCUUUAUCCUAUUAUUUUUGCAGUGGUAUAAAUUAAGUCUGCAUUCUCAGGAAAUUCUCACUGCCCUCCAUCAGAUAUUUGUCAGAACUUAAGAGAGUCCUGAUUGAAGCCUUUUAAAUUCAACUUAAAGUUUGCUCCUAAGACUGGGCAAGUGUUCCUGGGGCUGAGUGUAUAAGGGGAGAGUUGGUGGAAGCCAGUGUGGUAAUCUUUUCAUGAAAGAGUCAUAUCAGCUUAUAUAUAUAUUCCAGUGAUUGGUGAUGUAGGGGGUGGCUAUCAGAUCCUUUCCUGAAAAUAAAUUUGGCUAUGAGUGGGGAAUAGGAUUUUAAAGAUAGCAUAUUUUAAUUAUGUUUUAAAAUCAAUUUCGCAUUCACAAGUUACAUAUGAAUAGAUUAUACUUGUGUAAAAAAAAAAACAAUUUCCCUCAAUAACUACCUGAUCUCAAUGUAUUUCAUGCCAGUUCUGAGAUUUCCUGAGAUAAAGACCCACUGUUCUCAGUUCGUGUGUGUGUAUAUGUGUAUCUGUAAAUUAUAUGUAUUAUUUGAUGCAUGUGUAUACAUUAAAAAAAUAAGUAUAUCAUAUUGAACCUAUAGUUCUAUAAUGGUUUUAUAUUUCCCCCUAAGCAUGUUAGUAUAUGUGGUAUAUUUUUGUUAGUAUAGAUAAAUGGCAUAUCUUACUUUGGCUAAACCACUGGUCACUUAAUGUAUUGAUAAUAAACUUUUUCAUUAUUAAAAACAAUGCUGCAAUUAAUAUCUCUGAUACAUAAUAGCUCCCUGGGCACAUUAUGUUAGAAAGUCAGACACAGAGAAG
rnacentral:lncRNA from 10 species